AGAAAAAUUUACCGUAGACCGCUGAGCAGUUGCGGCGCUAUGAGUCUCGACUUUUCUUAAAAGCUGAGCGAUUUUUGAAGUUCUUCACUUUGAAACUCUUCUUUGCAUUUCGCCUGAGUGGUCUCCCUAAGCCCUAACACUCUCCUUUCACCUUCAAGAGUUUUUAGAGAGAUCUCCUCACUUUCUCAUCACCCACUCACCAAAAAUUCAAUUUUUUUGAACAAUUUUUCUGCAAGAAUUCAAAG
rnacentral:lncRNA from 1 species